rnacentral:rRNA from 1 species
CAGUACGGUCGGAAAUCGUACGUAGAGUGUAAAGGCAAAAGAGAGCUUGAUUGCAAGACAUACAGGUCGAGCAAGGCUGAAAAUCGGACUUAGUGAUCCGGUGGUUCUGCGUGGAAGGGCCAUCGCUCAACGGAUAAAAGCUACCCUGGGGAUAACAGGCUUAUCUCCCCCAAGAGUCCACAUCGACGGGGAGGUUUGGCACCUCGAUGUCGGCUCAUCACAUCCUGGGGCUGUAGUAGGUCCCAAGGGUUGGGCUGUUCGCCCAUUAAAGUGGUACGCGAGCUGGGUUCAGAACGUCGUGAGACAGUUCGGUCCCUAUCCGUCGCAGGCGUAGGAAAUUUGAGAAGACCUGUCCUUAGUACGAGAGGACCGGGAUGGACGUACCUCUGGUGUACCAGUUGUUCUGCCAAGGGCAUGGCUGGGUAGCUAUGUACGGAAUGGAUAAGCGCUGAAAGCAUCUAAGCGCGAAGCCAACUUCAAGAUAAGAUUGCCCACCG